rnacentral:piRNA from 1 species
UCUGAAGAGCGUUUGAAAGCAGG